rnacentral:rRNA from 1 species
GAUUGAACGCUGGCGGUAUGCUUAACACAUGCAAGUCGAACGGAAACGAUACUAGCUUGCUAGUAGGCGUCGAGUGGCGGACGGGUGAGUAACGCGUAGGAAUCUGCCUGAUAGUGGGGGAUAGCCCGAAGAAAUUCGGAUUAAUACCGCAUAAUCUAUUCGUAGUAAAGUGGGGGACUUUCGAGCCUCACGCUAUCAGAUGAGCCUGCGUAAGAUUAGCUUGUUGGUAGGGUAAAAGCCUACCAAGGCGACGAUCUUUAGCUGGUCUGAGAGGAUGAUCAGCCACAUCGGGACUGAGACACGGCCCGAACUCCUACGGGAGGCAGCAGUGGGGAAUAUUGGACAAUGGGGGCAACCCUGAUCCAGCAAUACCGCGUGUGUGAAGAAGGCCUGAGGGUUGUAAAGCACUUUCAAUUGUGAAGAAAAGUUAGCGGUUAAUAACCGUUAGCCUUGACGUUAACUUUAGAAGAAGCACCGGCUAACUCCGUGCCAGCAGCCGCGGUAAUACGGAGGGUGCAAGCGUUAAUCGGAAUUACUGGGCGUAAAGCGUGCGUAGGCGGUUUAUUAAGUCAGAUGUGAAAGCCCCGGGCUUAACCUGGGAACUGCAUUUGAAACUGGUCAACUAGAGUAUGGUAGAGGAAAGUGGAAUUUCUGGUGUAGCGGUGAAAUGCGUAGAUAUCAGAAGGAACAUCAAUGGCGAAGGCAGCUUUCUGGACCAAUACUGACGCUGAGGUACGAAAGCGUGGGUAGCAAACAGGAUUAGAUACCCUGGUAGUCCACGCCGUAAACGAUGAUAACUAGCCGUUGGGGGGAUUUACCCUUUAGUGGCGAAGCUAACGCGUUAAGUUAUCCGCCUGGGGAGUACGGCCGCAAGGUUAAAACUCAAAGGAAUUGACGGGGACCCGCACAAGCGGUGGAGCAUGUGGUUUAAUUCGAUGCAACGCGAAGAACCUUACCUGGUCUUGACAUCCUGCGAACUUUCUAGAAAUAGAUUGGUGCCUUCGGGAACGCAGUGACAGGUGCUGCAUGGCUGUCGUCAGCUCGUGUCGUGAGAUGUUGGGUUAAGUCCCGUAACGAGCGCAACCCCUAUCCUUAUUUGCCAGCACAUCAUGGUGGGAACUAUAAGGAGACUGCCGGUGAUAAACCGGAGGAAGGCGGGGACGACGUCAAGUCAUCAUGGCCCUUACGACCAGGGCUACACACGUGCUACAAUGGAAAGGACAAAGAGCCGCGAAGCCGCGAGGUGUAGCUAAUCUCAUAAACCUUUUCGUAGUCCGGAUUGGAGUCUGCAACUCGACUCCAUGAAGUCGGAAUCGCUAGUAAUCGUAGAUCAGAAUGCUACGGUGAAUACGUUCCCGGGUCUUGUACACACCGCCCGUCA